CACGUAGGGGCCAAGCGUUGUCCGGAUUUAUUGGGCGUAAAGAGCUCGUAGGCGGUUUGUCGCGUCGGCCGUGAAAUCUCCACGCUUAACGUGGAGCGUGCGGUCGAUACGGGCAGACUUGAGUUCGGUAGGGGAGACUGGAAUUCCUGGUGUAGCGGUGAAAUGCGCAGAUAUCAGGAGGAACACCGGUGGCGAAGGCGGGUCUCUGGGCCGAUACUGACGCUGAGGAGCGAAAGCGUGGGGAGCGAACAGG
rnacentral:rRNA from 1 species